UACGAAGGGGGCUAGCGUUGCUCGGAAUCACUGGGCGUAAAGCGCACGUAGGCGGAUUGCUAAGUCAGGGGUGAAAUCCUGGAGCUCAACUCCAGAACUGCCUUUGAUACUGAGGAUCUUGAGUCCGGGAGAGGUGAGUGGAACUGCGAGUGUAGAGGUGAAAUUCGUAGAUAUUCGCAAGAACACCAGUGGCGAAGGCGGCUCACUGGCCCGGUACUGACGCUGAGGCACGGAAAGCGUGGGGAGCAAACAGG
rnacentral:rRNA from 1 species